GCCGAUGUAGCUCAGUUGGUAGAGCAACGCAUUCGUAAUGCGUGGGUCAGCGGUUCAAAUCCGCUCAUCGGCU
rnacentral:tRNA from 2 species